rnacentral:rRNA from 1 species
UACGUAGGGUGCAAGCGUUAAUCGGAAUUACUGGGCGUAAAGCGUGCGCAGGCGGUUGUGCAAGACCGAUGUGAAAUCCCCGGGCUUAACCUGGGAAUGGCAUUGGUGACUGUACGGCUAGAGUGUGUCAGAGGGGGGUAGAAUUCCACGUGUAGCAGUGAAAUGCGUAGAGAUGUGGAGGAAUACCGAUGGCGAAGGCAGCCUCCUGGGCCAACACUGACGCUCAUGCACGAAAGCGUGGGGAGCAAACAGG